GUGAAUCAUCAAAUUUUUGAACGCAAAUUGCGCCUUUUUUGGAAGGCAUGUCUGUUUGAGGGCAACAUUUAACAAAUAAUGUGUAUUGCGUGUGCACAAGAUGAUGAGCUUUGCAAAUUUAUGUAUUAUUUUUGGUGGAGAGGAAUAAAAAGCGCGAUGCUUGUUUUCAGUUAGAGUGUAGUAAAAUUUUUUCAUGGUUGGGUUGUGAAAAGAGUGAUCGCGCAAUGGGUGUGGGAAUUUUAGAUAAUGCGUGCACAA
rnacentral:misc_RNA from 1 species